rnacentral:lncRNA from 13 species
UUAUUCCACAUGAAAAUACUCCUCAAAGCCUGUCUUUACCAUACAGAUAAAAUAAAUAAGUAAAUAAAUAAGCUGAAGGUGGUGGUGUGAGCUUGUAGUCCUAGCUAGUUGGAAGGCCAAGGCGGGAGGAUCGCUUGAGCCCAGAAGUUUCAGGCUCCAGUGAGCUAUGAUUGUACCAUUGCACUUCAGCCUGGGUGACAGGAAGAUUCUGUCUCAACAAAAUAAAACAACAAAACAAAAACAAAAAAACUUCAAAAAUAAAGAGUCGAAAGCCCAAGGAGGAGGGAGGGGUCUCUUUCCAAAGACUUCAUGGUAACUUGAAUGUUGGUGUCUCUCUUACAGAGGCUAAGGAUUCUUGUCUAUCUCUUUAUGGUGGCACCAACGAUGCUUGCUUUUUGAUGCUUCAUUAUCCUAAGAGAAGGAGAGGCGAAGAAAUGGCAAGUGAUUGCAACUAUGGAGGCUGCAAGUGAGUGGCAGUGGAGAGCCAGGGAGGACCUGCAUAGGGACUUGCUCUGAUGCUCAGGCUGGAGUGUGGUGGCAUGAUCAUGGCUCACUGCAACCUUAACCUCCCAGGCUCAAGUGAUCUUCCUGCCUUAACUUCCCGAGUAGCUGGUACCACAGGUCAUAGUCAGCAAAGUUCAAGAAACACUAAUGCAGAGGAAAAUAUCCUGAAGGUGGGUUUCGAGCUGCCAUCUUGAACUGUGAGGUGGGAAAUGCGUGCUGAGGAGGGUGGAGCUUGGGUGGCCAAACCCAUGCA